rnacentral:rRNA from 1 species
UGCUUGCACCGAGCGNUAUGAGUUGCGAACGGGUGAGUAACGCGUAUGANACCUGCCUCUUAGCGGGGGAUAACUAUUGGAAACGAUAGCUAAUACCGCAUAAAAGUCGACAUUGCAUGAUGUUGACUUGAAAGGUGCAAUUGCAUCACUAAGAGAUGGACCUGCGUUGUAUUAGCUAGUUGGUGAGGUAACGGCUCACCAAGGCGACGAUACAUAGCCGACCUGAGAGGGUGAUCGGCCACACUGGGACUGAGACACGGCCCAGACUCCUACGGGAGGCAGCAGUAGGGAAUCUUCGGCAAUGGGGGCAACCCUGACCGAGCAACGCCGCGUGAGUGAAGAAGGUUUUCGGAUCGUAAAGCUCUGUUGUAAGAGAAGAACGAGUGUGAGAGUGGAAAGUUCACACUGUGACGGUAACUUACCAGAAAGGGACGGCUAACUACGUGCCAGCAGCCGCGGUAAUACGUAGGUCCCGAGCGUUAUCCGGAUUUAUU